UCAGUAGGUUGAACGGUUGACUCUUGAUUUCAGCUCAGGUCAAGAUCUCACGGUUGGUUGUGAGAUCCAGCCCUGCUUUGGGCCCCAUGUCGAGCCUGCUUAAGAUUUUCUCUCUCCCUCUCCCCCUGCCCCUCCUGCACUCACACAUGUACUCUCUUGGAAAAAAAAAAAGAAAGAAAGAAAUUGUAUUCAUGCAUACCAAUUAUGUAGAUAUAUACACAUAUAUUUUCCAUAUGUGUGUAUGUGUGGGUACACAGCUGUGUGCUAAAAUAAUCUCCAAAAACAUAACAGGAGAAGAAUGAUACUUAGCUUAUGGCAGGCCAUUAAAUGGGAAGAGAAGAUUCAGAAAUAAGAACGUUGCAAUUUCAAAUCCUUCCUUUAUCGGCAAAAGAUGCCUUGUCCGAGUCACUUAAUUAAUCACCUUAGCUUGUUCAUUGUUAAGAUAGAAGCAAUUCCGUAUCUGUACUUGGUGUGAGAGAAGUGGUGCAGCAUAACCUUACUACCCUUACUUAAGUUUUUCUGAACAUUUGACCUGAUCUGGAUUUAACCGACUGAGCCACCCAGGUGCCCUUGACCUGAUCUGGAUCUAAAGGGGACUGAUCAACAGAUACUCUUCUCUCUCUCUCUCUCCUGCCUUUUUCAUAAUGAAGCCAGGCUGAGGGAGUAGCCAUGAUCCUGUUCAUGAGGCAAAGGAAGACUUCCAGUGGUAGAACUACACAAUGGCUUAUAAAGCUUCUGCUUGGAACUGGCAUAUGUUACUUCUAAUCACAUUUCAUUGGCUAAGACAGGUCAUAUGGCCGAGCCUGUAAGAAUCAGAAGAAUAUGUAUCGAGCACCUGCCACAUAUUAAGUGAUCGACAAAUGGGAGGAACUGUUCCAACAAGCAGGGCUUUUGACAAAGAAACAGGGCUGAGGAGAGGCCAGAUCCUUGCCAAGAUCAGGAUGCCCAAAUCUGCAGGAAGGCUCAAAAGCAGGGCCUGUCCAGCAACUUCUCUUAGCCCGGCAACCCAGCCUGCUCUCAACUGUGACAGACAUGCGAAUCCAAACAUGUCCUUAAUCUCCUUUUUAAAAGUUUUGUUUUCAUAUUUUCUUUAUUUGUGCAGAAAGCAUCCUUUUUAGAAGUGUAAAAGUUACUGGAAAAGUUACAAAAGGUGGCAUCUACACAGAGGCCGGUGCCUUCAUUCCCUGGCAUCUCAGAAGCAAGGGGAGUUUUACUAGUAAGAACGCUACUGUGCCUGCCCAAAACCAAGCUAAACAGAAGCUAAUGGUAAAUGCCUUCAAUACUAUUUGGGAAAAAAAAAAAUCCAUCAAAGGUUUUGCUGAAUGAUAUUUAUAAGGGCUUUACUGUUCUCUUUCAAAAACUGAAAUGCCCUUCUCCGACACUUGAAAAAAAUUGCUUGUGCUUUUCAUCUUUUCCUCUUAGAGUGUAAACAUUGUUUUGAGUGAAAAGAGCUGAAGGAGCGCUCACUUUCCCUUGAAAUUUUAUUUUUAAAUAAGAGAGGGAGAAAAUCCUUUUUCUGACUAAUACUAAUAAUACAGGUCAAAGUGUCAGGCGAUAUACAAUUAAAUGGAAAACAAAAAAGGUUCCCCCUCUUUUUCCCACAGCACAAUGGCACUGGAAUAUAAAUUACCAAUGGAGAUGAAAUAAUACUUCAAAGCCUGUAGGGCAGGGCAGUGCAGUGUUUACAAAGUAUUUUCUAUGGCAUGAUGAGACAUUAAAGAUGAUGGUAACCCAUGGACUUGAGGGUGUUAUUGAAUAGUCUAAAACUAGCAUGAGGUAGGAUUUUAGGUCCCUAUAGCCUGUGACCCCGUGAUAGGCUUUGUUUCACAAGGGCAGCUGCAGUUAUCAACAGAUGUUUCAGCAAUAAAUAAUUGGUAUCAUCUCGGAAAAGACCCAUCUACCUGGGGAGAGGGCAUAAUACCAAAAACACUGCCCAGCUAUUACAGCCACAUUAAUCUCCCAUCUCACCAGGUUUCUUGGGGAGUGUGCUGCAGGUGUUUUUUCUGGGAGAGAGCGAACAAACUCUCUCAAGUCAGCAAGCUUUGUGUGGAGUG